rnacentral:lncRNA from 1 species
ACUUUAGAAAAAAUGUAUUUUUCAUACAUUCGACCAAUAUUAGAGUACGGGGAUGUCAUUUGGGAUAAUCAAACACAAUACUUGAUAAAUAAAGUGGAAAAUGUUCAAAUUGAAGCUAUGAGAAUUGUAACAGGUGGGAAUAAAUUAACUUCGAUACAGAUGCUUUAUAAGGAAACGGGUUGGGAAACACUUUCAGAAAGAAGGGAAAAACACAAGCUCACUAUGUUUUAUAAAAUGGUGAAUAAGGAAACUCCAUAUUAUUUACAAAACUUGGUACCAAAUCAAAUAGUUAAUUUACAUAACCAUUUCACUCGUCAGACUCAAAAUACUUCGGAAAUUCGUACAAGAACCAAUCUAUACUCCGAUUAUUUCCUUCCUUCGUCUAUUAAAUUGUGGAAUAAGUUACCAGACCAAACGAGAAAUUCUACGUCUUUAAGCAUUUUUAAAAGUCGUAUAAAAAACCCAAAUAAUAAAUGCCCAAAUUUUUACUACACUGGUACAAGAAUGGGUCAAGUAUUACAUGCCAGAUUAAGGAUGAAUAGUAGUUCUCUAAAUGAACAUUUGUUCAAGCGAAAUCUAGUAGAUUCUUCAAACUGCUCGUGUGGUUUGAUCGAGUCUACAGCUCAUUUCUUAUUGCAUUGUAAAAAAUAUGACGAAUUGCGUAAUGACAUUAUUUUCUCAAUUAAUUAUCCAGUCACACUAAACACGAAUUUACUUUUAUUUGGAUCACAAGCUCUAAAUUUAGACCAAAAUAAAGAUAUUUUUGGAAAAGUACAAAAAUUCCUACUAAAGUGCAAGAGAUUUACAAGUUAAAUUGUUAUUCACUAUUCUCACUAAGUUGCAUUUCAUCUAAACAUGUGUGUAGUAUUUCGGUGUAGUUUUCUUUUUUCUUUUUUUUACUUUUUUUUCUUCUUUUGUUGUAUUUAUUUUCAUUAUUUUAAAAUGAUUUUUUUUCUCCUUUCUUUUUUGUUAUAUAGUUACUUAGUUUAUUCUUGUUCCAUAUCAUAGUAACAUUGCAUGCUAUAUUUAUGUAAUAGUUAACUUGAGUUGGUAUUUCAACGGAUUAAUAUAAGCUAUAUAUAGCUUGUUUCCGAAUCCUAUUAUUAUUGUGUAUUUUGUAUGAUGAUAUAUUUGUAUUGAUGAUGAAUAAAUAU